rnacentral:rRNA from 1 species
CUCUAUACAUGCAAGUCGAGCGGACCGACGGGAGCUUGCUCCCUUAGGUCAGCGGCGGACGGGUGAGUAACACGUGGGUAACCUGCCUGUAAGACUGGGAUAACUCCGGGAAACCGGGGCUAAUACCGGAUGCUUGAUUGAACCGCAUGGUUCAAUCAUAAAAGGUGGCUUUUAGCUACCACUUNCAGAUGGACCCGCGGCGCAUUAGCUAGUUGGUGAGGUAACGGCUCACCAAGGCGACGAUGCGUAGCCGACCUGAGAGGGUGAUCGGCCACACUGGGACUGAGACACGGCCCAGACUCCUACGGGAGGCAGCAGUAGGGAAUCUUCCGCAAUGGACGAAAGUCUGACGGAGCAACGCCGCGUGAGUGAUGAAGGUUUUCGGAUCGUAAAACUCUGUUGUUAGGGAAGAACAAGUACCGUUCGAAUAGGGCGGUACCUUGACGGUACCUAACCAGAAAGCCACGGCUAACUACGUGCCAGCAGCCGCGGUAAUACGUANGUGGCAAGCGUUGUCCGGAAUUAUUGGGCGUAAAGCGCGCGCAGGCGGUUUCUUAAGUCUGAUGUGAAAGCCCCCGGCUCAACCGGGGAGGGUCAUUGGAAACUGGGGAACUUGAGUGCAGAAGAGGAGAGUGGAAUUCCACGUGUAGCGGUGAAAUGCGUAGAGAUGUGGAGGAACACCAGUGGCGAAG